rnacentral:rRNA from 1 species
UUUAAUUGAAGAGUUUGAUCAUGGCUCAGAUUGAACGCUGGCGGCAGGCCUAACACAUGCAAGUCGAGCGGCAGCGACUUAACUGAACCUUCGGGGAACGUUAAGGGCGGCGAGCGGCG